UUUGACAAAAAUCGUGCCAGCAGUUGCGGUUAAACAAAAGUUAAAUUAAAUUAUUUCAGUAUAUAAUAAAUAUAUAAUAAAUUAAAGUAAAUAAUAAAUUAUUAGGUAAAAUUUUAAUUUAUUUAAAUUUUAUAAAUUAAUUAUGAUUUAAUAAAUUUAUUAAUAAACUAGGAUUAGAUACCCUAUUAUUAAAAUUUAAUUGAUAAUACUAAAAUAGUAAAUAAUAAUUUAUUGAAACUUAAGUAAAAUGGCGGUAUUUUAGUUCAUUUAGAGGAAUCUGUUUAUUAAUUGAUAAUCCACGAAUAAAUUUACUUAAUUUAAAAUUUUGUAUAUCAUUGUUAAAAAAAUAUUUUUUAAUAAAAAUAAUAUUUAAAAAUUUAUAAUAAAAAUUAAUUCAGAUCAAGAUGCAGAUUAUAAUUAAGAUUAUAAUGGAUUACAAUAAAUAUAUUUAAAUGAAUAAUAUUUUGUAAUAUUUAUUUGAAGGUGGAUUUAAAUGUAAUUUUAAUUAAUUUAUUAAAAGUAUAAA
rnacentral:rRNA from 1 species